CAGUCGUACCGACGGGGAAUCAACUUCUCGAGCGUGGUUAGUGGGUUCAAAGUGCCUUUGUUCUCGCGAUAUCUGCGUUCUUUUGGUGCACUUUCUCGUAUUGUAGGUUAGCAUCGGUUUGAUCGUCAUAAAAUGAUUGGAGGAAUGUGGCUUCGACCUCGGUUGAAGUGUUAUAGACCCUGGUAGAUGGUAAUGGUUGAGACCGAGGAUUGCAACGGAUGCCCUUAAGGGCUAUCCGCCUGGCUUCUAAUUGUCACUUUGGCUUCGAAAGCUUGCUUACGAUGUUAAAGUGUGCGGUCAAUAGGUUAGAACGGAUUAAAUUCGUUAAGGAUGCUGACGUAAUGG
rnacentral:rRNA from 1 species